rnacentral:rRNA from 1 species
AGAGUUGAUCAUGGCUCAGGAUGAACGCUGGCGGCGUGCUUAACACAUGCAAGUCGAACGGAGUUUUAACGGAAGUUUCGGAUGGAAGUUAGAACUUAGUGGCGGACGGGUGAGUAACGCGUGGGUAACCUGCCUCAUACAGGGGGAUAACAGUUAGAAAUGACUGCUAACACCGCAUAAUAUAGCGAAACCGCAUGAUUUUGCUAUCAAAUAUUUAUAGGUAUGAGAUGGGCCCGCGUCUGAUUAGCUAGUUGGUGGGGUAAAGGCCUACCAAGGCGACGAUCAGUAGCCGGCUUGAGAGAGUGACCGGCCACAUUGGGACUGAGACACGGCCCAAACUCCUACGGGAGGCAGCAGUGGGGAAUAUUGGACAAUGGGGGAAACCCUGAUCCAGCGAACCGCCGCGUGAGUGAAGAAGUAUUUCGGUAUGUAAAGCUCUAUCAGCAGGGAAGAUAAUGACAGUACCUGACUAAGAAGCCCCGGCUAACUACGUGCCAGCCGCAGC